CAGCCUGUAAACACCCCUUCAUCAGCAGGCCCUGCUCCCAACGUCUGAGGAGCUGGUUCACCAACAUCCUGCAAGGGCCUGCUGACAGCAUUUCCCACCUUUCUGCUCCGCCCUGCUGGCUCCUUUGACUUGCUCCCCAGAUGCAGAGUUGACAGUCCUGGUUUUGCCAGCCUUGCCCUUCAGGACAGGCAGGGCUCUGUGCUGGGAGCAGAGGUCUCAAGGGACUGCUGUGUCUGACCCUGAACCUGUAACCUCAGCCCUCUGUGUUCACUACACAGAACUCAGGUGGGCUUGUCUCAGGGCCAGGGGCCAGCGGAAGCCACCACCCCCGGUGAAGCCUCAGCCUCGAUGAGGCCCUGCUCAGACUGCACUGUGGGCUUCACGUUAGGAAGGUCUACUGGCCUGAAAGGUCUCAGAAGCCUGGCCCACACCUUCACCUUCUGUCUCGGGGCCCCUGCCUCCAGCUGCAGGACCGGACCAGGGGUUGUAUCCCCACCGUACACACACCUGGACUCUGCAGCUUCUAUGGCCGCCAUUGGAAGACUCUCCUGAGAGGCUCGUACCGGCCACCGUCCUGUGCAUCAGACACCAAAGCCGGAUGAAGAGUGUGCGCUUCACUCUCCUUGCUGGAUCCUCCAUCCUGCCCGAGGUGGAACCCGCCAUCCUGCGCCUUCAUGCUUCACAGGAGUCACUCGCGUGUCACCAGCCCUCAUUCUCCGUCAGUCAUCUGGGUAACACGUUCCCUCUCCCAAUGAGUGAUCAUCUUUCUACUUUGUUGGUGGUGACUUCUGUGGUCAUCAUGCUGUGAACUUCAUCCGAGCUACUGCAGCUAGCAAGAACUCAUUUACUCUUUUGGCUGCGUGAUAUUCCACAGUUAACUAUAAAACUGCCCCAGCAGCCCUUUGACAGUAUGGUGUGCCGGUGAACUGCUGCCUGUCCAAUCCAGAUUCCGCUAUUGAAAGUCUACCUUGACCUUUCAACCUGAUGCCUGACAUUACCUAAAGGGGCCAAGCUGGCUUUGGCCUGAAGCCAAACAAGAUGACGCUACAUCCUGACUGCUUUGCCGAUUGUUUCUCCCCAUUCUGCAUGUGGGCUGUUUUAUAACCUGCACUCCUCAAACUCUGAUCAGUGAUCACCUUAAGCCUGAUCUUAGUGAGGCAAAAUGAAGACUUUGUGAUAAAUAGUGGUUUCUGCCAAAAACCUGUCUAUGACAGAGAAUUGGGGGAAUCUGAAAACCGAAACGAGUUUGGUCAAGUUGGGAAAAGCAGCGUGGCAAGUCGGACUGGCAGCCCUAGAGACCUGAGGGAGAGGGUGACCGACAUGACUAUAGCUGGGUUUCUGUUUGUGAGCUGGACAUGUUUCCACAGUUUAACUGCAGACACAGCCUCUAUAGGCAUGGCUACAAUGUUCCCGGCUUUGUGUUGAGCACAUAACAUGCAUUUGUUGUUUGAUUGUCGUGGGGUGAAUGGAGGACCCCUCCAAACACACGCCCACAUCCUAACCUCCGGACCCCAUGAAUAGGACCAGAUUUAGAAAAAGGACCUUUGCAGACAUAAUGAAGUUAAGGAUCUCGGGAUCGUCUCUGAUUAACCAAGUGGGCCCUAUACCCAACGCCAAGAAUCUUUAUAGAAGACCCAGAGAGAGACAGGUGAGGAAGCCCACGAGAAGACAGGGGGCAGAGAGUGGAGUGAGACGGCCACAGGCCAAGGAAAACCCAGACUCACCAGGAGCUGGGAGAGACAGGGACUUUCCCCCUCGAGCCUUCGGAAGGAGCACGGCCAUGCUGAUGCCUUGAUUUUGGACUUCUGGCCUUCAGAAUGGUGACAGAAUGCUUUUCUGUCGUAAGGCACCCAGCUUAUAGCAAUUUGUGAUGGCAGCUCUAGGAAACGAUGAUUCCUUCAACUGCCCUGGGAAAUGGGCAUGUCAGUGACAUGCCCAAGGUCACAACCUAACUCCUGUGGGAUUCCAUUUACUUCUGUCAGAAAAAUGAGGAUGUUGGAAUAAAAGGUUGAAAUGUAUUCCCCCAAGUUUCCCAUAAACGUGUGAAUAAAUUGAGGUUAUCGCCAGAGGCUGUAAGAGGCUUUAGCAACAUGGCCUCUUGCUGCCCUCUAGUGGUCAGGAUGGUGAAUGUCACCACGUUGUCUCCGUCGUUUCUAGCUCCGUGUGUGCGCGCGCGCGCCUGUGUGUGUGUGUGUGUGUGUGUGUGUGUGUGUGUGUGUGUGUGUGAGUCUCUCUCAGUCGUGUCUAAGUCUUUGAGAUCCCAUGGACUGUAAGCCCACCAAGCUUCUCUGUCCAUGGAAUUUUCCAGGCAAGAAUACUGGAGUGUGUAGCCAUUCCCUCUUCCAGGGAACCUUUCCCCACCCAGGGAUCAAACCCAGGUCUUCUGCAUUGUAGGCGGAUUCUUUACCAUCUGAGACACUAGGGAAGCCCAGCUCCACCGAGAACCAGUAAAAAGCUGUGCACUUUAGCAGAAUAAAACUUAAGAAAUGUCUCUCUGUGCUCUACCAGGGUCCGCCUACAAGAAGAGAGAUUAUGUUCACUUCAUUAGGGCACAUCCAGCCACCCAGCGCUGAGCCCUGAAGAGGAGAGGAGGCAAGGUGCAGCAGCAGGGCCUGGUGGGACUGGUCCCCCGCCUACUCCUGGGUGAACCUGGGCGUGGUGCAGCCCUCUUGGAGCUGCCCGUUCCUCGUCUGUGAAAUGAGCACAAUACUUGCCUCACACUAUGAGACGAAAUGAUAUAAAGUGCCCAGCACAUGGCAGGCCCUCAACAAAGGUUGAUACGCGAUACAUUUUGUGUGAAAGAAAUGCGAUCACCUACAUAAAGGACAGGGGUUUCCCUGGUGGCUUAGUGGUAAAGAAUUCACCUCCCAAAGCAGGAGAACGCGUGUUCGCUCCCUCGGUCAGGGAGAUCCCCUGGAGAAGGAAAUGGCAGCCCGCUCCAGUAUUCUUGCCUGGGAAAUCCCAUGCACAGAAGAGCCUGGUGGGCUACAGUCCAUGGGGUCACAGAAGAGUCGAACGUGACUUAGCGACUAAACAACCACAACACAAAACAAAAUGUCAGAGCCUAGAAGAGAGCCAUAAAUGGUGUGUGAAUGAGAAGGAAGCAGGAGGGUAUUCGGGGGGGAAUCCUGGACUUGUCAGAGCUUUGGGGCCUGAUUUAUUAGCCCUGAGACACACUCACUCUGUGUCACUUCUCUGGACCUCAGCUUUGUCAUCUGUGAAAUGGAAAGUUGAAGAAAAGAAUCCAGUAACUGAAAGCCCAUGGACAGUGACUUAAUCCAUUGACCAAAUCUGUCCUGCCACUUGUUUUCAUGCAGCCCGUGAGCUAAAAAUGAUUUUUACAGUUUAAAUGGCUGAAAACAAUCAAGAGAAGAACUGUUUUAUGACGUGUGAAAAAAUAUGAAAUUCAAAUAUGUGUCUGCAAAUCAAGUUCUGUUGGAAUCUAGCCAAGCUCAUUUUUUAUGUUUUGUCCAUGGUUCCUUUCUUGCUAAAACAGCAGAAAUGAGGCGUUGGUUUAGAAAGCUGAAAAUAUCUGACCCUUCACAGAAAAAGUUAGCCAACCUCCAGCUUAACCAAGAAAGCUAUUUGAAGCUCAGAAUGACAGCAUUCUGGGUUUACAUCUCAGCAGUCGUCUUGACCUUUCCUUGGGUCUCAUGGUGCCAGCCUCAGUUCCGUGAAUCACGAGCUAUAUUCACUACAAUAAGUAAGGAGCAGGGAGGAAGGCUCCCCUGCCAUGGCACUUUUAUCCAGGAAGAGAAUACUUCCCAGAAACCCUGUGUGUGUGUGUGUGUGUGGGCGGGGGGGGAGUGUUAGUUUCUUAGUCGUGUCCGUUUCUUUUCGACCCCGUCGACUAUAGCUUGCCAUGCUCCCCUGUCCAUGCGAUUCUCCAGGCAAGAAUACUGGAGUGGGUAGCCAUUCCCUUCUCCAGAGGAACUUCCUGACCCAGGGAUUGAACCCAGGUCUCCUGCAUUACGAGCAGAUUCUUUACCAUCUGUGCCACCAGGGAAGCCCCUCCCAGAAGCCCUACCAGUUGUUUAUAAGAAGAUAAGAGCACGGGAGAGCAGAGGGACUAACUGCAAGGACUCAAGUGACUGAUGGGGAUGGCCUGAACUGAGAGGAUGAAGAUGGUGAGAUGUGGACAGAUUCUGGAUACUUUCUGGGGGGAUUUCUGCUGGACUGAUUGGGUAGGGGUGGAAGGCAGAGAAAAUGGGGACCGAGGGUCGUAUCCACAUAUUUGGCUUAAACCACUGGGAAGCUCCUGGGAUUAUUGGACAAGUUUUACAGAAAAGGUAACUUUUAGGAAUGAAUCCAAAUGUAUUUCUUACAUAAGAGCUUUGACUGCACGUGUGUGUGUGUGUGUGUGUGUGUGUGUGUGUGUGUGUGUAUCCUCUCUUACUGGGAUGCUCCCGUGCCCAGCAGGUUGGCGAGGGGGCAGAGGGGUAGAGUAGUGCUCACCACCAGCAGGUUGGCACGGGCUUGCUGCUGUAGCAACUUACUGAUCCCGGCCCUCACAGCAUGCUCACCACAUGCCAUGUGCUGUGCAAAGUGCUACCAAUAUUAACAGAUGUAAUCCUCAGAACAACCCAGAAGCCCCUUUACCAAUUCUCAUUUUAUUGAUGAGGAAAUCUGGGAUUCAGGAAAGUGAGGUGAUGUGCCCCAAAUGACAGCAUGGCUGGUGGCAAAGCCAACAUUUGAACUUGAGCCAUCGGAUUUCAGAGUCUAGGCUUACGAACAGCCCCUUCCAGCCACAGCAAAGGAAGGCAGGGCAGAGUGCUGAGCAGUUUGUCUUCCUUUCAGAGUCUCUAAAUGUAAAAACACUUAAGUGCUGGCACAUAGUAAGUGCUCACUAAAGUAUAAUAAUUGCUGUUAUUUUUAUUAACACCAAGGAACCUGGCAGGCUACAACCCUCUUGAGUGGCCAUGUUCUGUAGGAGGCAGAAGAUGCAAGUUGGGGGAGAAAUUGAUUUAUAUCAGAUGCCAAACCAUCAAAAAUAACUGGCAGGAGAGAAGAAAUCAGACAGAGUGUGUGAGUGUCUUUAUUUCUCUUUAUUUGUUGUCACACUGUUACAGUUAAAGAGUGGAAAUUUAGCAAGAAAAAGAACACAAGUCUGCCCACAUUCUUCUAGAUUUACAUUCUUUUCACUUAUUGAAAAAGGAAAAAAAAUUGGACCAAAUGUUAAAAACAUGAAAAAAAUCAAAAGGCAAGAAAUAUGGAGGGGAAAAAAAUCAGACUGGCAGCUAUGUGGAAAUUGAAAAAUGCAAAUAACAUGGAGCUUGUUUCAAUUAUCUGACGCCCCCAUGCUGGAAUUGAUUACUGCUGUUGGGAGGAGAAAAAGGGAUGAGAGAAUUCUGCAAAUGAGAUCCUCAGAUCUUUCGUGAGAAAUUCAAUCCCAGACACAAAAGUGCUAGAGGGGCAGGUUGAGAGGUGAAGAAUGUGAGAAUUCCCUUUUGAGGGGAGCUGGCAAGAAUUCCUUGCUCUAGGGUUGAUGUCCCUGUAGUAACAAGGAUUUACCUCCAGGGGGCAUCCAACUUCCUGCACCAGAAAGAUGAGGUUCCAGGGUCCGCGGUGGGAAAGGGAGAGGCCCUGGUAGACUUGGAACCCCGAAGGCAGGGCAGCUCUGGCUGCCUCAGCAAUGCUCUCUCCAUUCAGAAAGGUCUUGAGUAAGGUCUUCUGAAGUCAAAACCAAACCACAAAAGAGAAACGGUACACAAGAAAAAGAAAGCAGCCAUGGGCAGAAGAGAGCCGCGCUUUUCAAAUCAGUCAUUCCAGAAGGAAAUUUGUGGUCAGGAAUGGCUGCCCAUGAGAACUGCUUUUCUGGGAAUGACAGAAAAUGUCUCAUUAAGGAGGAAAUGAAGGUGACCCCCUAAAUAAGAGGUCAACAAACUUUUUUUGUCAAGGGAAGGUUAGUAAAUAUUUUAGGCUUUGCAGACAGUUGGGCUCUGUUGCAACAAUACUGGCAUAGUGUGAGAUUAGCCGUAGACAAUGAGUAAGCCAAUGACCACGACUGUGUUCCAAUAAGUUUAUUUACGGACACUAAAAUUUGAAUUUCACUGUGAAGAGAAUAGAAAGACAAGCCACAGACUGGCAGAAGAUAUUUGCAAAAAGCGUCUGAUACGCAAAAUAUACAAAGAAUUCUUAAAACUCAACAAUGAGAAAAUAACCCAAUUAGAAAAUGAGCAGCAGAUCUGGACAGACACCUCACCAAAGAAGACACACAGAUGUCACGUAAGCGUAUGAAAAGAUGCUCAACAUCAUAAGUCAUUAGGGAACUGCACAUUAAAACAACGAGUACCACUACACACCACCUAGAAACGCUAAAAUCCGAAACGCUGACAUCAAAUGCUGACAAAGACGUGGAGUCACAGGAACUCUCACACAUUGCUGGUGGGAAUGCAAAAUGGUACAGCUACUUUGGAAGACUGGUUGCUGCUGCUGCUAAGUCGCCUCAGUCGUGUCUGACUCUGUGCAACCCCAUAGACGGCAGCCGACCAAGCUCCCCCGUCCCUGGGAUUCUCCAGGCAAGAACCCUGGAGUGCUUUGCCAUUUUCUUCUCCAAUGCAUGAAAGUAAAAAGUGAAAGUGAAGUCACUGAGUCGUGUCCAACUCUCACCGACCCCAUGGACUGCAGCCUACCAGGCUCCUCGGUCGAUGGGAUUUUCCAGGCAAGAGUACUGGAGUGGGGUGCCAUUGCCUUCUCCUGGAAGACUGGUGGUUUCUAGCCAAACCAAACAUACUGUACCAUCCAGCAAUCACACUCCUUGGUAUUUAUCCAAAUGACUUGAACAUUUACGUCCACGCAAACGGGCAUGCAAAUGUUUCUAACAACCUUAUUCUUAUUUGCCAAAACUUGAAAAUGACCAAGAUGACCUUCAGUAGGUGAAGGGGUAAACAAGCUGUGGUCCAUCCAGACAGUGGUGUGUCACUGAGCAAUAAAAGAGAUGAGCUAACAGGCCAUGAAUAUACACAAAGGAUAUUCAAACGUGUGUUACCAAAUGAAAGGGGCCAAUCUGAAAAGGCUCCGUACUGCAUAAUUCCAACUGGUUGAUGUUCUAGAAAAGGCAAAACUAUGCAGACGGUACAAAGGUCAGUAGAUGCCACAAACUGGGAAGGAGGAGGAAGGAUGGAUAAAUGGAGGCUAGGCAUAUGUGCAGAGGAUUUUUAGGGCAGUGAAGCUAUGCUGUGUGAUACUGUGAUGGUGGAUACAUGUCUUUAUAUAUUUGCCAAAAUCCAUAAAAUAUACACCAUCAGGUGUGCCUGUGUGUUUGUGCCCAGUCAUGUCCGACUCUUUGCAACCCCGUGGACUAUAGCUCACCAGGCUCCUCUGUCCAUGGGAUUUCCCAGGCAAGAAUACUGAAGUGGGUUGCCAUUUCCUUCUCCAAGGAAUCUUCCCAAGGAGUGAACACUAAUGUAAACUAUAGACUUUAGUUCAUAAUAAUGUACCAACAUUGGCUUAUCCGUUGUAACAAAUGUACUUCAUUAAUACAAGAUAAUUGAAGGCCAUGGAGUGGUAGCAGUAGUGGGUAUGUGGAAACUCUGUACAUGCGGCUCUUUAUUUUCUGUAAACUUAAAACUAGUAAAAAAAAAAAAACCAACAAAAUAAAGCCUAUUAAAAAAAGAAAGGAAAAUAUUUUCGAUUUCAUAUAUUUUCAUGUGUCAAAAUAUUCUUUUUUUGAUAGUGUAAAAAGCACUUUUAGCUUGUUCAUACAAAAAUAAGAUCAUACAAAAAUAAGUGGAUUUGGUGGAUUUGGCCAGCAGGUAUUUUGCCAGCCCCUAACGCUGU
ensembl:lncRNA